GGCGGACGGGUGAGUAACACGUGGGGAAUCUACCUUUUAGUGGGGAAUAACGCUCCGAAAGGAGUGGUAAUACCGCAUGAGACCUUCGGCUGGGAUGCUGGAGGUGAAACCUGGGGACCGCAAGGCCUGGGGCUAGAAGAGGAUCCUGCGUCUGAUUAGCUAGUUGGCGGGGUAAUGGCCCACCAAGGCGACGAUCAGUAGCCGGCCUGAGAGGGUGAUCGGCCACACUGGAACUGAGACACGGUCCAGACUCCUACGGGAGGCAGCAGUGGGGAAUUUUGCGCAAUGGACGAGAGUCUGACGCAGCAACGCCGCGUGGGUGAUGAAGGUCUUCGGACUGUAAAACCCUGUCGUC
rnacentral:rRNA from 1 species